rnacentral:rRNA from 1 species
AGUGAACGCUGGCGGUAGGCCUAACACAUGCAAGUCGAACGGCAGCACAGUAAGAGCUUGCUCUUACGGGUGGCGAGUGGCGGACGGGUGAGGAAUAAGUCGGAAUCUACUUUUUCGUGGGGGAUAACGUAGGGAAACUUACGCUAAUACCGCAUACGACCUACGGGUGAAAGCAGGGGAUCUUCGGACCUUGCGCGAUUGAAUGAGCCGAUGUCGGAUUAGCUAGUUGGCGGGGUAAAGGCCCACCAAGGCGACGAUCCGUAGCUGGUCUGAGAGGAUGAUCAGCCACACUGGAACUGAGACACGGUCCAGACUCCUACGGGAGGCAGCAGUGGGGAAUAUUGGACAAUGGGCGCAAGCCUGAUCCAGCCAUACCGCGUGGGUGAAGAAGGCCUUCGGGUUGUAAAGCCCUUUUGUUGGGAAAGAAAAGCAGCAGGUUAAUACCCCGCUGUUCUGACGGUACCCAAAGAAUAAGCACCGGCUAACUUCGUG